GACGAACGCUGGCGGCGUGCUUAACACAUGCAAGUCGAACGAUGAAGCCUAGCUUGCUAGGUGGAUUAGUGGCGAACGGGUGAGUAAUACGUGAGUGACCUACCUUUGACUCUGGGAUAAGCCUGGGAAACUGGGUCUAAUACCGGAUACGACCAAUCUCCGCAUGGGGUGUUGGUGGAAAGCGUUAUGGAGUGGUUUUAGAUGGGCUCACGGCCUAUCAGCUUGUUGGUGAGGUAAUGGCUUACCAAGGCGACGACGGGUAGCCGGCCUGAGAGGGUGACCGGCCACACUGGGACUGAGACACGGCCCAGACUCCUACGGGAGGCAGCAGUGGGGAAUAUUGCACAAUGGGCGCAAGCCUGAUGCAGCGACGCCGCGUGAGGGAUGACGGCCUUCGGGUUGUAAACCUCUGUUAGCAUCGAAGAAGCGAAAGUGACGGUAGGUGCAAAGAAAGCGCCGGCUAACUACGUGCCAGCAGCCGCGGUAAUACGUAAGGCGCGAGCGUUGUCCGGAAUUAUUGGGCGUAAAGAGCUUGUAAGCGGUUGGUCGCGUCUGCUGUGAAGGCUGGGGCUUAACCCUGGUUUUGCAGUGGGUACGGGCUAACUAGAGUGCAGUAGGGGAGACUGGAAUUCCUGGUGUAGCGGUGGAAUGCGCAGAUAUCAGGAGGAACACCGAUGGCGAAGGCAGGUCUCUGGGCUGUAACUGACGCUGAGAAGCGAAAGCAUGGGGAGCGAACAGGAUUAGAUACCCUGGUAGUCCAUGCCGUAAACGUUGGGCACUAGGUGUGGGGGACAUUCCACGUUUUCCGCGCCGUAGCUAACGCAUUAAGUGCCCCGCCUGGGGAGUACGGCCGCAAGGCUAAAACUCAAAGAAAUUGACGGGGGCCCGCACAAGCGGCGGAGCAUGCGGAUUAAUUCGAUGCAACGCGAAGAACCUUACCAAGGCUUGACAUAUACUGGACUGCGUCAGAGAUGGCGUUUCCCUUCGGGGCUGGUAUACAGGUGGUGCAUGGUUGUCGUCAGCUCGUGUCGUGAGAUGUUGGGUUAAGUCCCGCAACGAGCGCAACCCUCGUUCUAUGUUGCCAGCACGUGAUGGUGGGGACUCAUAGGAGACUGCCGGGGUCAACUCGGAGGAAGGUGGGGAUGACGUCAAAUCAUCAUGCCCCUUAUGUCUUGGGCUUCACGCAUGCUACAAUGGCCGGUACAGAGGGUUGCGAUACUGUGAGGUGGAGCUAAUCCCUAAAAGCCGGUCUCAGUUCGGAUUGGGGUCUGCAACUCGACCCCAUGAAGUCGGAGUCGCUAGUAAUCGCAGAUCAGCAACGCUGCGGUGAAUACGUUCCCGGGCCU
rnacentral:rRNA from 1 species